AUUGAACGCUGGCGGCAGGCCUAACACAUGCAAGUCGAGCGGAUGAAGGGAGCUUGCUCCUGGAUUCAGCGGCGGACGGGUGAGUAAUGCCUAGGAAUCUGCCUGGUAGUGGGGGAUAACGUCCGGAAACGGGCGCUAAUACCGCAUACGUCCUGAGGGAGAAAGUGGGGGAUCUUCGGACCUCACGCUAUCAUAUGAGCCUAGGUCGGAUUAGCUAGUUGGUGGGGUAAAGGCCUACCAAGGCGACGAUCCGUAACUGGUCUGAGAGGAUGAUCAGUCACACUGGAACUGAGACACGGUCCAGACUCCUACGGGAGGCAGCAGUGGGGAAUAUUGGACAAUGGGCGAAAGCCGGAUCCAGCCAUGCCGCGUGUGUGAAGAAGGUCUUCGGAUUUUAAAGCACUUUAAGUUGGGAGGAAGGGCAGUAAGUUAAUACCUUGCUGUUUUGACGUUACCAACAGAAUAAGCACCGGCUAACUUCGUG
rnacentral:rRNA from 1 species